rnacentral:rRNA from 1 species
UACGGAGGGUGCAAGCGUUACUCGGAAUCACUGGGCGUAAAGGGCGCGUAGGCGGCCUAGCAAGUCUGGUGUGAAAACCCAGGGCUCAACCCUGGAAGGGCACUGGAAACUGUUAGGCUUGAGUUCCGGAGAGGAGGGGGGAAUUCCCGGUGUAGCGGUGAAAUGCGUAGAUAUCGGGAGGAAUACCGGUGGCGAAGGCGCCCCUCUGGACGGAAACUGGCGCUGAGGCGCGAAAGCGUGGGGAGCAAACAUG